UGCACCUGGUUCAUGCAUUUAAAAUCUUGGGAGGCUGAGGCAGAAUUGUUUGAGGAUAUGCCUUCAAAUCCAGUCACAUCAACAUAGCAAGACUGUGUCUCUACAAAAAUUAGAGGUGAUGCAUGACCGUAGUCCCAGAUAGUUUGGAUGCUGAGGCAGGAGGAUCUCUUGAACCCAGGAGACUAAUGAUAAAUUUCCAGAAGGAAAUAUUUCUGAACUGAAAACUUGAUUGAGGAUGCAUAUCAAAGGGAGGAGAGCGUGGAAGCUCUUGGCAAGUGAAGGGCUACGGAGUUUCAGAGAAACAUUGUUGCUUUUGUGCCUCUGCUACCUUGUAUUGAAAGCAUUUUCACCAACCUUCUGGAAAAACUCAGACAUCCAAAAGCAGCAUAAGGGCAGAGCCAACAGGGGAAAGGGAAGUGGAACAUUGAAAACUAAGGUUCUGUGUAUUUGACUGAGCUCUCCAACUGCAAGCCUUCCUGUUACUUCCGUGAGGCCCCAGAUCCAUGCUCUCAGAGGAGGUUUGCAGAGUUACCUAAAGAGAACCAGAAGAGUGAAAGAAGCUGAAUUCUACUCUGAAA